UGCUUCACCACCAACAAGUAACCUUCACCAUCAUCGAUAAUUAUGCUUGCUUCAUCAACAUGUUUCAUCACUUCAUACCCAUUUCUUUUUCUCAACCCCACCUUUGCUACCAACCUUGCUUAUCAAAUUCAUUGACAAAUCUACUUCUUCUCCAUCGACGAUUGUGUUCUCUUCACUAACUCAUAACAUUCAACUGGUUUCCUUAAUUUUCUC
rnacentral:lncRNA from 1 species